AAAUUGUCCUGACACCAUUUUAGACAGAAAAAAUCACAGGAAACCCAAGAUGAGCAAGACUCGUUGCUCCCUUGUCUUCUUAAUCUUCUCCAUUAUUUCCCGCAUUAAUUCAGCCACUUCUUCAUGCCCCAUGGAUCUCAACUAUGUAGAAACCUUCCCAUGGGACACUUCACUCUGCCUAGACCCCAAUGGAAAACAUUGCUGUCAAACCCUUCUCAGCCUCUUUGGCAUUGGCCUUGCCCAGCACCUCAAAAAAACUUCAAUGUUCCAAUUACCCAAUUCAAAUAUUUCAUCUUCUUGUCUCUCAAAUUUCCAAACCAGCCUCGCUGCCUUGUCUUUGGAUCCUUCUAUAGUCCCUUUGUGCUUUGAGAACUCAACCCAGUUUGUUGCUAGCCCUUCUAGCUGUGCUGGGAUUGUAACAAUCCAGGAUUGGACUCAGAAGGUGGGCCCAAUGAACCCAUUGGACACUUCUUGCAAGGGAGACUUGGAGGGCCUAACAAGAUGCAGCUCUUGUCUUGAAUCUGGCAUGAAGGUGAAUUCUCAGUUGACUGGUCUUGACGCAAAUGCCACCAAAUGCUUUUACUUCACUGUGUUAUAUGCUGCAGGGAUUGUUAAUGAGUUGGGUCCAAGUGAACCCAGAACAGCUUCUUGCAUUCUGGGCUUGCCUCUGUCUGGCUCAGCUGAUAAGCAGUCAAAUGAUCAGUUGAGUAAGAAGACUUUGCUGAAAUGGGUUUUUGGGGUCUUGGGGGCUCUGAUUGGGAUUUUGCUUGCUGUUGGGAUUAUAGUCCUGUAUAGGAAAUGGGGUAAGAAAGAGAAACAAAUUGCUCUUCAUGAAGAAUAUGUGACCAGUUUUAGAACUAGCUUUCUGCCCAAUUCAGGAGCAAAAUGGUUUGCUGUAUCAGAGCUUGAAAGAGCCACCAAUGGAUUUUCCCAGAAAAACAUGAUUGGCCAAGGUGGAUAUGGGGUUGUGUACAAAGGAACACUUUCUGAUGGCACUUUGGUUGCAGUGAAGCAUGUUCUUGAUUUGGACUCAAAAGGGGAUGAAGAGUUUUCGAAUGAGGUCGAGAUCAUAAGCAAAAUCAGGCACAGAAAUCUUCUUUCCCUCAGAGGCUGCUGUGUCACAAGUGAUGAUUUGAAAGGCAAAAGAAGGUUCUUGGUUUAUGAUCUCAUGUCAAAUGGUAAUCUCAGUGACCAAUUGUGCAGCAGGCAGGGAUUAAACUGGCCUCAGCGCAAGAGUAUAAUUCUUGAUGUUGCCAAAGGGCUUGCUUACUUGCACAAUGGGCUCAAGCCUGCCAUUUAUCAUAGAGACAUAAAACCCACAAACAUACUCUUGGAUUCAGAACUGAAAGCAAAAGUUGCAGACUUUGGGUUGGCCAAGCAAAGUUCAGAGGGCCAAUCUCACCUCACCACAAGGGUUGCAGGCACACAUGGCUAUUUGGCACCAGAAUAUGCUCUCUAUGGACAACUAACAGAGAAGAGUGAUGUUUACAGCUUUGGCAUUGUGAUUCUUGAAAUCAUGAGUGGGAGGAAAGUGCUGGACACAUCGAAUAAUUCGGGUUCAAAUCCGUCCUUCGUUUUGAUCACAGAUUGGGCAUGGAUGGUUCUGAAGUCAGGGAAGGUGGAGGAAAUUUUUGAUGAGGCAAUAAGAGAGAAUGCACCAAAGGGUGUUAUGGAGAGGUUUGUGCUUGUUGGGAUUCUUUGUGCUCAUGUUAUGGUGGCAUUUAGGCCUACAAUUUCUGAGGCCCUCAAGAUGUUAGAGGGUGACAUUGAUAUUCCCAAAUUACCAGAUAGACCAAUGCCUCUUGGUAAUGAGUCUCAUAGAUCUUCCUUUGGGUUUUCUAGAUUGUUGGCAAGUGAAGGAUCAAGACCUAGAUUUAGUAGUUCAAGCAUGAACACAACAUAACAUAGAUUUGGAACUAAUUUGGAAGGCCUAGUUUGGUGUGGUGCAAAUAAUUCUCAAAUCAAACUCCAAAGGGGGUGGUUAUGUGUGUGAAUUUUCAUAUUUCUUUCAUUUUCCUUCAUCAUUUUGAGAUAUUUAUUUGUGUAUAUAUAUAUAUAUAUAUAUAUAUACAUUUCCAAUUCUUUUUGUGGCAACAAAAUCCAAGUUGUUGUUCUUUUUUAAUUUUUAUUUGUUUUUGGUCAGAAUCGAAGUCUAAUUUUGUAGGUUGGGUUUUAGUCUGGUCAAAGACUCAUCAAAGCCCUGGACCCAAAAAGAGAGACUCAAAGUGGUAUGUACUUUGCACACGGAUUCUACGGAAUAAGGUUGCAUGCGUUUUGCUUGUAGAUUUUGACUAUUGUAAAGUAAAAAAGCAUAACAGGAUUGCAACAUCAUUUAUAAGUAAAAUAGGAAACAUUUAUA